rnacentral:misc_RNA from 1 species
AAGUCGUAACAAGGUAACCGUAGGUGAACCUGCGGUUGGAUCAUUACAAAAUUGGUUUUAUACCAAACUUUUUGUGCACUAUAUCUGUCUCUGGUGGCUCUCGUGCUGAGAACUUCCAACGGUUCUUGGCCUGCUUCAUUGCUGGGUCACCAACUGUGGGCUACCAUCUGGUAGCUCAUGAACAAACUUUUUUUACCUAUUGUCUGAAACUUCACUUUUGUGAAUUUGAAAACAACUUUUGACAACGGAUCUCUUGGCUCUC